AGAAAGAGCCAAAGGACCAGGAAGCUUGCUGUGACACAUGUCUCCUGGGAAUGUGAGAAGCUACACACGUAAAGUCUCACCAAUAUGACAGUCCAGAUGUGAACUGAACAAGAAUGACAUCAACAGAGAGUAAGCAAGAUCAAGUAACUCUCCAGGGACUACAGAAGCCUGAAUCUAAGCCAGCUCUGGUUUCGUGGAGGAGCAAAGACCACACCCCACCCUUCACGAAGGCCGGUCCAGGAAGGCAGCUCCUGUACCCCCACUGUGGAACUGAGCCAUGUGGCCCAUCCAGACCUGUUGGCCCCAGGUGUCUGGAAAGGUCACAGGAGAUCCCUGGCUGACAUACUACACCUGCUCUAGGAAGCAAGGGCUUCCAGUCAGGGGGUGUUCCAAGACAAUGAGCAGGCAGAAGUUAGCAGAAGUGCAUGGUGGUAGAAACUAGGAGACAGGAGAAAGGCCUCAGAAGGCCAGUGUGUGACCCUUAGGUCCCUUGACUUGCUGUGAUUCUAGGGACUUAGAGGCCUAGCUAGUCCACAGGUUUUGUUUUCUGGAAGUUUCUGUUACCCUUAGUGGUUUGCAAUUCCUUCACCAUAAAAAAAAUUAAAAAUAAAUAAAUAAAAAUCACCUCAUUA